AUAUAUAAUUUCUGUAUGUCUGGGAAACAAAUCCCCCCUUCUUUCCAGUCUCUCUGUAAAAUUUCCAAAGACACUCUAGGUCUCCUCUCUUGCCAAAUAUAAUUUGAUACUUGCCUUUGAAGACCACGUAUCGUCUGGCAUGACACCCUCAGUGGGAGGUUACCAAAUAAAAAUGUCAACUUGGGGAGGAGAUAGAAGUUUACUGCUUCAAUCCUUCCCAACCAAGAGAGUUCUAAUCCCU